rnacentral:rRNA from 1 species
CUACGGGGGGCAGCAGUGAGGAAUUUUGCGCAAUGGGGGAAACCCUGACGCAGCAACGCCGCGUGAGUGAUGAAGGCCUUCGGGUCGUAAAACUCUGUCAAGUGGGAAGAACCUAUGUAAGGUUAAUACCCUUAUGUACUGACGGUACCACUGAAGGAAGCACCGGCUAACUCCGUGCCAGCAGCCGCGGUAAUACGGAGGGUGCAAGCGUUAUUCGGAAUUAUUGGGCGUAAGGGGCGCGCAGGCGGUUGUGUAAGUCAGAUGUGAAAGCCCGGGGCUUAACCUCGGAAGUGCAUUUGAUACUGCAAGACUUGAGUAUGGGAGGGGGAAGUGGAAUUCCUGGUGUAGAGGUGAAAUUCGUAGAUAUCAGGAGGAACACCAGUGGCGAAGGCGACUUCCUGGACCAAUACUGACGCUGAGGCGCGAAGGCGUGGGGAGCAAACAGGAUUAGAUACCCGGGUAGUC